rnacentral:tRNA from 2 species
GGCUCAGUGGUCUAGUGGUAUGAUUCUCGCUUCGGGUGCGAGAGGCCUUGGGUUCGAUUCCCGUCUGAGCCC